UACGGGGGGGGCAAGCGUUGUUCGGAAUUACUGGGCGUAAAGGGCUCGUAGGCGGCCAACUAAGUCAGACGUGAAAUCCCUCGGCUUAACCGGGGAACUGCAUCUGAUACUGGAUGGCUUGAGUUCGGGAGAGGGAUGCGGAAUUCCAGGUGUAGCGGUGAAAUGCGUAGAUAUCUGGAGGAACACCGGCGGCGAAGGCGGCAUCCUGGACUGGUCCUGACACUCAGGAGCGAAAGCGUGGGGAGCGAUCCGG
rnacentral:rRNA from 1 species